rnacentral:rRNA from 1 species
GGUUGCGAUCAUACCAACACUAAUGCACCGGAUCCCAUCAGAACUCCGCAGUUAAGUGUGCUUGGGCGAGAGUAGUACUAGGAUGGGUGACCCCCUGGGAAGUCCUCGUGUUGCAACCCC